GAAACCACCACGGACCACACUCAUCUCAUCUCAUUUCCCAUAAAAACCUUUCAAGAAAUUAACCAUCUCCCCAGCUUCAAACUUCAAACCCACAAGCAAAAUCACCUGAAUUUGAAAGAAACCAUCAUCAAUCAAACUUCAAGAACCUUGAAAAUGCCAACGAGUAGAAACUUCUCUCUUAUGUUCAUCUAUCUCCUGUUGUUAUCUUCUAUUAUAGGCAUAACUACGGGCGGACGUGUCAUCCCCUCAAGUGUUCCAAGCACCAUGAGGCCUCUGAGUGCACAAGGUGGAGAUUUUGUGAAAAUCAGGCCUCAUUUUAACCACCAGCAACCAGUUUUUGGUGGAAGAGAAGCCAACGGUUGCUUGCCAAAAGGGUUUAGGCAUUCCUCAGCUCCUAGCAGAUAUGUCAAUAACCAGCCAUUUGGUUCUUGCUCUAAUAUACCAGCUGAGAAGCCAUAAUCACUUCAUUAUUGCUUCAUCACUUGAGGAAGAUGGUAGCCUAUAUAUAUAUAUCAGUCUCCCUGCUCUCAUUUCCAUGUUGGGUAAGUGAUUAGUGGUUAAGAAGGAUCUAAGGAAGGAUAUGAACUGUAUUUCACUUCCAUAGUUUUGAGAAAGAUGUAAGUUUACAUAUCUUAUGUAUACUUUAAAUGAUGAUUUUCUUUUUAAUUUUAUUUAUUUGAUAAAUUUUUCUGUUAAUUAUAUUCUAUGUCUAUGGUAUAGUGUGAGAGCACCAUUUUCUUAACCUCCGCCCUUUUUAAUUAAAAAAAUAAAAUAGAAUGAAAUGAAG
rnacentral:misc_RNA from 1 species